AAUUGGACAACAUUCAUUAACGGCGGGAUCACCAAUUCCAAUAUGAACUAGCCCACCAAGAAGAUCUACACAAGCUCCAAGUUUUAGUGUGUCAAUUGGGCAUGUUGCCUUUGUUGUUGUUGGUGGAGGGCAUGGUUUUCCUUUUGGGGAUGGUGUAACUGGAGGAACAGUAAUUGGUGGAACUGUCACUGGCGGAAUUCCUAUAGGUGGCAAGUUGAUAGGAGGUUUUACAAUAGGUGGUAUACCAAUUGGUGGCUUAACAACUGGUGGAACUGUCACCGGUGGAAUUCCGAUAGGUGGCUUAAUAACUGGUGGAAUAAUGGGUGGCAAGUUGAUAGGAGGUUUAAUAACCGGUGGAACUGUCACUGGUGGAAUUCCGAUAGGUGGCUUAAUAACUGGUGGAACAACAGGUGGCAAAUUGAUGGGUGGUUUUACAACUGGUGGAACUGUCACUGGUGGAAUUCCGAUAGGCGGCUUAAUAACUGGUGGAACAACGGGUGGCAAGUUGAUGGGUGGUUUUACAAUCGGUGGAACUGUCACUGGUGGAAUUCCAAUGGGUGGCAAAUUGAUAGGGGGUUUAAUACUUGGAGAGGGAGUUUUGGGCUUUUUGGGUUUGUGAGAGGGUUUUCCACAAUAUCCACAACCAAGAAUGGG
rnacentral:lncRNA from 1 species